GCUUAACGCGAAGAACCUUACCUACCCUUGACAUGCUAGGAAGCUCGCAGAGAUGUGAGCGUGCCCGAAAGGGAACCUGGACACAGGUGCUGCAUGGCUGUCGUCAGCUCGUGUCGUGAGAUGUUGGGUUAAGUCCCGCAACGAGCGCAACCCUUGCCAUUAGUUGCUACAUUCAGUUGGGCACUCUAAUGGGACCGCCGGUGACAAACCGGAGGAAGGUGGGGAUGACGUCAAGUCCUCAUGGCCCUUAUGGGUAGGGCUUCACACGUAAUACAAUGGUCGGUACAGAGGGCUGCCAACCCGCAAGGGGGAGCUAAUCCCAGAAAGCCGAUCGUAGUCCGGAUUGCAGUCUGCAACUCGACUGCAUGAAGCCGGAAUCGCUAGUAAUCGCGGAUCAGCAUGUCGCGGUGAAUACGUUCCCGGGUCUUGUACACACCG
rnacentral:rRNA from 1 species